rnacentral:rRNA from 1 species
AGAAUCAACGCUGGCGGCGUGCCUAACACAUGCAAGUCGAACGAGAAAGUGGAGCAAUCCAUGAGUACAGUGGCGUACGGGUGAGUAACACGUGACUAACCUACCCUCGAGUGGGGAAUAACCUCGGGAAACCGGGGCUAAUACCGCAUAACAUCUUCGGAUCAAAUGCGCAAGCAGCUUGAGGAGGGGGUCGCGGCCGAUUAGCUAGUUGGUGGGGUAAUGGCCCACCAAGGCAAUGAUCGGUAGCCGGCCUGAGAGGACGACCAGCCACACUGGAACUGAGACACGGUCCAGACACCUACGGGUGGCAGCAGUCGAGAAUUUUUCACAAUGGGGGAAACCCUGAUGGAGCGACGCCGCGUGGGGAUGAAGGCCUUCGGGUUGUAAACCCCUUUCAGCAGGGACGAAGCGAAAGUGACGGUACCUGCAGAAGAAGCGCCGGCUAACUACGUGCCAGCAGCCGC